AGAGUUUGAUCAUGGCUCAGGAUGAACGCUAGCUACAGGCUUAACACAUGCAAGUCGAGGGGAAACGACAUCGAAAGCUUGCUUUUGAUGGGCGUCGACCGGCGCACGGGUGAGUAACGCGUAUCCAACCUGCCCAUCACUUGGGGAUAACCUUGCGAAAGUAAGACUAAUUCCCAAUGACGUCUCUAGAAGACAUCUGAAAGAGAUUAAAGAUUUAUCGGUGAUGGAUGGGGAUGCGUCUGAUUAGCUUGUUGGCGGGGUAACGGCCGACCAAGGCGACGAUCAGUAGGGGUUCUGAGAGGAAGGUCCCCCANAUUGGAACUGAGACACGGUCCAAACUCCUACGGGAGGCA
rnacentral:rRNA from 1 species